GAGGACGUGAACCUCGCACCGAACACACACGAGCCGUGUUAUUACGUCCUGCUCACGCGCUGACAGUCGUGUCAGGAUUAACCCCGCGAGCUAACUGACAGCUCAGCUCGCUCGGCUGGUUCGCCAACGGGUGAAGUCCUGGAAACACCCGGGUUUCUGACUGUAAAGCUCGGUCCGUGAAGAAGGUCAGCGUCCCUGAAAGUCAGCCGUAGAAGCGCCGCAUUGACACCGACCGCUGUACUGCGCGUGUUUGUUUAUCACCGCAGUCCCCGGUCGUUGGCUCCGCCCACCGGAGUCAAGCUUUUAUAGACAGCUUCCGGGUGGGGUGAGGAAGUGACCUCCAGAGUAAAAGCUUAUGGUGAACUCACUUUCAUGUAUGUAUCUGUCUUCUUUCCUUCAUUACACACAACCAGAGAGAAAUGCAGAUCACAUGGAAUAAAUCUAAUGUACAUACACAUUUUACAAACAAUAUUUUAAGUAUACAUUGUAAUCAUUACAUUAUAAUCAUACCUAAAUCCUUAUGAAAUAUAUCUAGAAGUAUUUGAAUAAAAUCUUUAACUUUAGCUUGUGAAUUUCCACUGAGAUAAAUGCAGGUAUAUCUUAACAUUAUAAAAUUAUGUAUUUGUUGAAGUAUUUUAGAGUAAAGAGUUGCCUCCAAAUUAAUGCAUCAGUAUAAUAUACCAAUAAUCUAAGAAAUAAAGUAUUUAUUGUGAGGAAUAGUCCUUUUUAAUUUAUUUUAAAGUAACUUCCGGUCUGUGUUUCUCUGUCCAACUUCACACGGGGCUGCUGCUGCGGUGAAGACGGCCUCUCUCUCUUUGGUCUAAUCAAUGCUCGCUCGACCAUCGGCCUCUUUUCAUGCUGCAGUUGAAACAACUACCAGUAAAUAAUCAAACUUUGACCCGUUGAAUGGUCUAAUAGUGUCAGUGUACCGUGUUGCGUUGAAUGUCAAUACUGUAAAACAGUUUUAUUAAAUAAACUUUUUUCAUCUGCGUAAAAUCUUUAUUAUUAAACUUUCAGAUUUCCCCCGAAAUAUUGAUUAACGGUAAAAUACCAUUUAUAUAGUGUACAUUAAAUAAAAUGAAAUUAAUUACAGUUGCUAAAAUAUUUAAAAGUGGAUCAAUUAGUUUGACUUUGUAACUCACAAAUUGAAUCUUUGUUUAAUAAAAAGUGUCAAAUUUGCUGAUAAAGCUAUCAACAAAACCAUCACUUAAUUAUACUUUUAUAAAUAAAGAUAAUAUAUAUAUAUUUUUUAGUCAUACUUUUCAGAUUUUCUUUCCUGCCCCUUAAUUUACAAAAUAUUGCCCCUAAAAUUGAAGAAGUCAGUCAGUUUUGUUUUUUUGGUGGUAAACAGCAAUUAUUUAUUGAAAUUAAAUAAAAAAAGAAUAAGUACCAGAUCUAUUGCAUUAUUGUAACAUGUUGUUUCUGUAAGGGGGGGGGAGGGUACUCUACUGUUUGUUUACUCUGGUAGGAUGCCGUGAACACAAAUAUACAGGAACAUUCAGCUAUCACAGAUACUGUAGUAAUGCAGUCGAAUACAAGACCACCAAAAUAAAAUGCAACAUUUUAUCUUUUUUUCUUCUUCUUCAUUUUGUCUUUAAAAUGUUUUUUUCUUCUUCUUCUUCCAUAAAGAGUAGAAAAGUCCUCCCAGAGUCGGGGGACACGACCUCCGGCUCACAACUCAGACAACGAACCUCCCGAACAAAAAAAACAAAAAUAAUAAUAAUAAUGCUGAGAACAUGAACAAUGCACCGACACAGAAAGUCAGCUGUGUUAAUAGACAUGCAACAAGUCACCAAACUUGCUGAAAUCGCAAUAAUAAAAUCAUUAAAAAAAUAAUAAUCUAGAACUAGUUAUAAUAAUUGCAUAAAUACUUUGUACAGUUUCGUGACACGCAACUUUCUGUUAAAAAGGACGAGACGUGAAGCGCUGCCCCUCUUGCCUCUGUACACGUGGAGGUGAAGAACGACUCUUGAUUGACAGAAGCCUGAACGGCUCGAUGUCAAGCAAAGACUCCGGGACACGGAGAAUGAUUAGAAUUACAUCAUUAUUAUUAUUAAUAUUAUAACGACGUCAGCUGAGGUGUUUAAGUGUCUUCUGUUCUUUUACGUUUUGUGGACUCUGGAGACGAGUGGGAGAAUAAAAGAAACAAGUUCUCUCUGGGAGGGGGGGGGGGGAGAGAAAGAGAGAGGGAAAGUGAGAAAGAAACAAGAAACAAGAAAAGAGAGAAAGAAAGAUACAAGAAAGAGAGAUAUAGAAAGAAACCAGAAAGAAGGAGAGAAAGAAAAAGGGAGAAAGAGAAAGAAACGAGAGAAAGACACAAGAAAGAGAGAGAAAUAAAGGGAGAAAGAAAGAAAGAGAGAAGGAAAGCGAGAGAGAAAGAAGCACUUGAAUGUGCCAUUGCAGAACCUCCAGCAAAAGAAAACAGACUUACAUUAAAACUCUUAUUGUGAAACAUCACAUUUAAAUAUAUAUAUAUAUAUACAUAUAACAUGGAGGUCAACCGGAAGUUGUUGUUUUUUAGAUCUUUCUGCAUAUUUCAUAUUUAAAUCUCCGCCGUACAUUUGAACAACAAGCUCAUGUUUGUUCAUCUCUGUGUGUCUGAGUGUCGGAUUGCCCCACGCUAUCAACGUGUCAUCAAACUACACACAGCUUCAGCCAAUCAAACUCCUGAUGACUUCCAGAACCCAGUGACUUUAUUAAAGUUGCUUGAGUCUAAAACGUCUUCAUUGCUUCCUCUGCGUCAGGAUUUUGGAAAUUAAUCGAAAUCAUAAUUUCAUAAAGCGUGAAAGAAUAAUUAACAUCUUCUAGAGGAGGAAAACAACAACAAGGACAACAAACAGUAAACAAAGAGUCCCUUUUAGAGUGCGUUGAAAACUAAAUGUGCAGCGACUUUAAGAAACUAAUAUAUAUAUAUAUUUUUUACAUGAUGUUUUUCUCUCAAAAUGCAUCUUAAUGAUAUGGUUUAAAAACAUUAGAAUAAAAUCUAGAAUGACGACGACGUGAAGCAGCGACAACAACAACAAGGGAAAUAAUAUAAACGGACAGAACCGAUGAUUCUUUAAAGAAAGUCAUGAUAAUAAAACAUAUAAAUCUCUCUGUGACGGCAAAGAAAAUAACAAAAGAUAACAAAAAUAAGUCAUUUUGCAUUAACUAGACACACACACACACAGUCACACACACACACUCUCAUACACAUACACACUUUAGUUCUUAAAGCCGGUUAGUCGCUAUGUUACAGGCUAUUUAGUUUUUUCUCUAUCUCACGACCUCAUUUCUUUUUUGUUGUUUGUUUGUUCUGCGUUUUUGUUCCUGGUGAAAUUAAAAAGGCCGUGGUAAAUAUUUACAAUAUUAACAAGUUUUGUUAUGUGUGGCGGUGAAAGGAGGAGGCAGAG